GCUGGUUCUCUCCGUAAUAGCUUUAGGGCUAUCCUCAAGUGUUGAUUAUUGGAGGUAGAGCACUGUUUGGACGAGGGGCCCCUCUCGGGUUACCGAAUUCAGUCUAACUCCGAAUGCCAUAUAAUUUAACUUGGGAGUCAGAAUGUGGGUGAUAAGGUCCAUAUUCUUAAGGGAAAUAGCCUAGACCACCAGCUCAGGUCCCAAAAUACAUGUUAAGUGGAAAAGGUUGUGGCGUUGUCCAGACAACUAGG
rnacentral:rRNA from 1 species